AGGUAAAACUAGUAAACAAAUGUAAUAAUAUAAACAAAUACGAAUUCCAUGAAUGUGUAUUGUGUAGUCUGUCUGUGUUAGAACCUAUAUGUAUAUCGCGCGCGCCGCACCCCGAUUCUAGCUCGGUCGGUAAAGUAGUUUGGUUACUACUAGUACUUACAAACAAAAUAUUUUUUUUCCAUUCGACCGCCGCGCCGCCGAACGGGCACAACGUGUUCCUAAAGUAAAGCGAGAUUAUAUAUUUGUAAUAGAAUUGCGUAUAUUAAUUAAAAAGAAAAAAUAAAGUGAAUCAAAUAAAGCAAAUAUUAUACAUUAACCAAAUUAGAAACAAUAAAUUACGUCCAAUACACUCAACAACAUCCAUAGUAAAUAAUAGAAACGUGCAGUCGUUUGAAAACCCCAAUAAACAAUCCAUGAGACCAUGCAAACAUUACCCGAAGGAAAAUAAUAAUAAUCAUGACAAAGGUUGUGUCGCCGCAUCCAGCCCGCUAGGAGGACUCCGCCACGUUGACGUGUCGAAACCAAUUAGACUACGAAACGGCGGCGGCAAAUCGUUCCAGCACUUGGAUGCGGCGAACCUGAAACUGCCCCGGAAAGCGGUGGUGCGGUGACGAGGCACCGCGAGUGAGUAGUACGACGCACGGGUCCUGGCAGCAGUCACGUCGCGGGACCAAACUAGUUUGUCCGCAAGAUAUGGCGGUAAUUUAAAAUUAACUAUUCCGAACAUCAGCGUUGCAAAAUGAAACUGUCUGCGAUAUUUCAUUUUUAGGAUUCUAGCCUUGUUUAUGUAAGGUGUUACGUGUGUGCGGGGAGGAAUUUUGAAGCAGAAUCUAGCGCAAGCAUUCUGUACUCUCUGAACCAGUUUUUGUGAGCGCGCCAGAAGCCGAGGCCCAUACACAGCGUCCAUAUAAUUAAACUUAGAGAGAAUUAAAGA